UCCCUGGUGGCUCAGACAGUAAAGAAUCUGCCUGCAAUGCAGGAGACCCAGGUUUGAUCCCUGGGUUGGGAA
rfam:Ovis aries breed Texel chromosome 6, whole genome shotgun sequence.